rnacentral:rRNA from 1 species
UACGAAGGGGGCGAGCGUUGUUCGGAUUUACUGGGCGUAAAGGGCUCGUAGGUGGCCAACUAAGUCAGACGUGAAAUCCCUCGGCUUAACCGGGGAACUGCGUCUGAUACUGGAUGGCUUGAGUUUGGGAGAGGGACGCGGAAUUCCAGGUGUAGCGGUGAAAUGCGUAGAUAUCUGGAGGAACACCGGUGGCGAAGGCGGCAUCCUGGACCGGUAUUGACACUGAGGCGCGAAAGCCAGGGGAGCAAACGGG